rnacentral:rRNA from 1 species
AUUGAACGCUGGCGGCAGGCCUAACACAUGCAAGUCGAACGAGAGGCGGACGGGUGAGUACUGUCUGGGCACCUGCCUGAUGGAGGGGGAUAACUACUGGAAACGGUAGCUAAUACCGCAUACCAUCAGAUGUGCCCAGAUGGGAUGUGCUAGUUGGUGGGGUAACGGCUCACCAAGGCGAGGAUCCGUAGCUGGUCUGAGAGGAUGACCAGCCACACUGGGACUGAGACACGGUCCAGACUCCUACGGGAGGCAGCAGUGGGGAAUCUUGCACAAUGGGCGCAAGCCUGAUGCAGCCAUGCCGCGUGUGUGAUGAAGGCCUUCGGGUUGUAAAGUACUUUCAGCGGGGAGGCGGUACCAGCAGAAGAAGCACCGGCUAACUCCGUGCCAGCAGCCGCGGUAAUAC